rnacentral:rRNA from 1 species
GGAAGUAAAAGUCGUAACAAGGUUUCCGUAGGUGAACCUGCGGAAGGAUCAUUACAGUAGUCGCCCGGGUUGCCGCAAGGCCUCCCGGGUAACCUACCACCCUUUGUUUAUCACACUUUGUUGCUUUGGCAGGCCUGCCCUCGGGCUGCUGGCUCCGGCCGGCGAGCGCCUGCCAGAGGACCUAAACUCUGUUUGUCUAUACUGUCUGAGUACUAUAUAAUAGUUAAAAUUUUCAACAACGGAUCUCUUGGUUCUGGCAUCGAUGAAGAACGCAGCGAAAUGCGAUAAGUAAUGUGAAUUGCAGAAUUCAGUGAAUCAUCGAAUCUUUGAACGCACAUUGCGCCCCCUGGUAUUCCGGGGGGCAUGCCUGUCCGAGCGUCAUUACAACCCUCAAGCUCAGCUUGGUGUUGGGCCCCGCCGCCCCGGCGGGCCCUAAAGUCAGUGGCGGUGCCGUCCGGCUCCGAGCGUAGUAAUUCUUCUCGCUCUGGAGGCCCGGUCGCGUGCCCGCCAGCAACCCCCAAUUUUUUUCAGGUUGACCUCGGAUCAGGUAGGGAUACCCGCUGAACUUAAGCAUAUCAAUAAGCGGAGGA